AAGGAUCAUUAUUGAAUAAACUUGGUUGGGCUGUUGCUGGCUCCUCGGAGUAUGUGCACGCCUAGCGCCAUUUUUACCACCUGUGCACCUUUUGUAGACCUGGAUACCUCUCGAGGAAACUCGGUUUGAGGACUGCUGUGUGAAAGCCAGCUUUCCUUUCAUUUCCAGGUCUAUGUUUUUAUAUACCCCAUAAGAAUGUAACAGAAUGUUGUUUACUGGCCUUUGUGCCUUUAAUCAAAUACAACUUUCAGCAACGGAUCUCUUGGCUCUCGCAUCGAUGAAGAACGCAGCGAAAUGCGAUAAGUAAUGUGAAUUGCAGAAUUCAGUGAAUCAUCGAAUCUUUGAACGCACCUGGCGCUCCCUGGUAUUCCGGGGAGCAUGUCUGUUUGAGUGUCAUUAAAUUCUCAACCUUUCCAGCUUUUGCGAGCUUGGUCAGGCUUGGAUGUGGGGGUUGCGGGCUUCCCAGAAGUCGGCUCUCCUUAAAUGCAUUAGUGAAACCUUUGUUGAUCAUCUCUUGGUGUGAUAAUUAUCUACGCCAUUGAAGUGUCAGCCUCAACUCUGUUGAGAGGUUCUGCUUCUAACUGUCCCUCUGGGGACAAUUUCUGACCUUUUGACCUCAAAUCAGGCAAGACUACCCGCUGAAGUUAA
rnacentral:rRNA from 1 species